UUCACAAUAGGAAAACCUUUUGAGUUUUGC
rnacentral:piRNA from 1 species